CUGUUUUUAUAUACUGUUAAUAAAAAGAUUUUGGUCAUUUUUUACAUUUCUUUAGAGCCCCCACCCACCGCUCAGGGGUGGGGGCCAGGGGGGAGGACAUUAGGUCCCCCCCUUUUAGUAUUAGGGCCCCCACACACUGCUCAGGGGUGUGGGCCAGGGGGGAGGACAUUAGGUUCCCCCCCUUAUUUUACUGUAGGGCCCCCACCUGCCGUUCAGGGGUGGGGGCCAGGGGGGUUAGAAGCCCCCACUCGUGCAGCGCGCGCAGCAUUGCUCAUGCCCCUACUGGCGGUAUAGCGAGUAGGGGCAUAAUUUACUAAUACUAAGUAAUCUUUACUUAGUAUUAGUAAAUUUGGCUGAAAGACCAAUUUAGGUCAUUCAGCCUAUUAGUAGAUAGCUCCCUAAUACCAUGGGAAUUAGGGAGUUAUCUACUUAUUCAUUCCUGUAAUUACACUGACUGGCUAAGUAACUUACAUUUUAAAUGAAUGUAUGUUACUUGAUAGUUGUAAGUGUUGCAAAUGCUUACAGCUGAAUCCUGGCUAUGUUUGUAUACUUUUUAUUAAAAUUGUAUACAGUGUAACAUUCUUCAUUCUUCCACUGGGUUAGUAUAAUAGUUCUUAGGCAAUACUGUGCUUCGGAACUUCGACACUUUGGAAAUUCGGAACUUCGACCAUUCAGCAAUUCAUCUAUUCGGACAUUCAGAAGUACCCGAAUGUCCGAAUUGCCCAAAAUUCGUCCAAAUUCACAUGCGGACCGAAACGAAUUGCGCAUGUCUACUAAUGAUCAUUAACAUAUCAAAGAAAUUAACUCAUCAACUAAGAGGUACAGACCAUAUGGUUAAAGUCAGUUAGUUUACAUUGGAACUAGACAUCCAGGCAUCUCAAGUGUAGAGUUUCACACCUGGCAGAGCCUUUGAUUAAUCAAAAGAUCAAUCCAUAUUAUAAACCAUCUAAACCCCUUUCACAUUCCUAUACUGGUGACAGUGACUGAGGGAGGGGGUGACAGAGUGACCAGGGGAGGGCUGGCAGCCUCAGACCUGGGGGAAAAUCCAGUCAAGUGGCCCAUUGCACCCCCGAACCAGCUCACCAUCCAUGCCCACCUUGGUGGAAUGAUGAAGAAGGUGCAGCUGUCAGAGAUGAAGCAGAAUACAAAUCCUCAGUCUAUGAAUUAAUAGAAUGCACAAAGUGUGUACAAUUUACCUUUAUGAUGCAAUAUGUAUAUGUAAAAAAUAAAAUGUAAUGCAAACUUUGUCAGAAAUUGGUUAUGAAACAGCGUAGUGAAAAGACUCAAAAUGCCCCAUACAAAAUAGUGUAAGUUGUCCACUUUUGCAAAUGUUAUCCCAAGAGUGGGUAGUGUGCAGUGGAGUGGGAUGUUAUAUAGUUCAAUAUAAACCAACUAAUGAAAACUGAACAUUUGAAAACUGAAACAGGCAUGUCUGUAAUUUAAAUGGAUACUCUAAGUGUCAAAACACUUUAGCUUAAAGGAACACUAAACAAUAAAGAAUUGUAUUGAAGGGGUCUGAGUGCAGUGGUUCUUUCACAUAAGCCUGCAAUGUAAAACAUUGCAGCUUUUACUUUUUAAUUAUUUUAAAGAAAUUGCAAUAUUUAUAUUGCAGGGUAAAAUCCACCUCUAUUAGUUAUCUACUGGACAGGCACUACAGGGACUUCCUCCUCCAGAUCAUGUAAAACUAUGUCUCAAAAUUAAAUGGUGCUGAAAACAGCAUUUGAUUGGAGGAGUGGAGAAUGUGGCUGUGCAUGCCUAGUCCAAACCAUUGCUGCUCUAUGAAAAGCAAAAGAUUGGAGGAUAAUGCCCGUGAUGUCAACAUGAAUGCGGACACCACCAGAGACGUAGGCUGCAGCACAGGUAUCCCAGUGUUGGAAAGGAGGCGAGUAAUCUCUUUCACAUUUCUACUUUAAGCUGCAAACGGUGGUGGACAGAGAGCAACCUAUAUUCCCAAACUAAUUUUUUUGUUGUUUUUU
rnacentral:lncRNA from 1 species